rnacentral:rRNA from 1 species
UGGGGAAUAUUGCACAAUGGGCCCAAGCCUGAUGCAGCCAUGCCGCGUGUACGAAGAAGGCCUUCGGGUCGUAAAGUACUUUCAGCGGGGAGGAAGGGAGUAAAGUUAAUACCUUUGCUCAUUGACGUUACCCGCAGAAGAAGCACCGGCUAACUCCGUGCCAGCAGCCGCGGUAAUACGGAGGGUGCAAGUGUUAAUCGGAAUUACUGGGCGUAAGGCGCACGCAGGCGGUUUGUUAAGUCAGAUGUGAAAUCCCCGGGCUCAACCUGGGAACUGCAUCUGAUACUGGCAAGCUUGAGUCUCGUAGAGGGGGGUAGAAUUCCAGGUGUAGCGGUGAAAUGCGUAGAGAUCUGGAGGAAUACCGGUGGCGAAGGCGGCCCCCUGGACGAAGACUGACGCUCAGGUGCGAAAGCGUGGGGAGCAAACAGGAUUAGAUACCCUGGUAGUCCACGCCGUANCGAUGUCGACUUGGAGGUUGUGCCCUUGAGGCGUGGCUUCCGGAGCUAACGCGUUAAGUCGACCGCCUGGGGAGUACGGCCGCAAGGUU